rnacentral:rRNA from 1 species
AACGUAGGAGACAAACGUUAUCCGGAGUUACUGGGCGUAAAGGGCGUGUAGGGGGUUGUGUAAGUUUGGCGGGAAAUUUUUCGGCUUAACCGGGAAAGGUCGUCGGAUACUGCACAACUAGAGGACGGUAGAGGCGUGUGGAAUUCCGGGUGUAGUGGUGAAAUGCGUAGAGAUCCGGAGGAACACCAGUGGCGAAGGCGACACGCUGGGCCGUACCUGACACUGAUGCGCGACAGCAUGGGGAGCAAACAGG